rnacentral:rRNA from 1 species
AGUGAACGCUGGCGGCAUGCCUUACACAUGCAAGUCGAACGGCAACACGUUAAGCUGUUGCUCUGCGGAGGGGCGAGUAACGUACGGGAACGUGAUCAGUCGGGGUCGAUAUUUGCGUGAAAGAGCACCUAGGGACGCAUACGCCCAUAGCGCAAACGCGCGGCGUGUGAAAGCAUCGCGCCUUCGGACCUGGCGAUAUCGGAUUAGCUAGUUGGCGAGGUAAAGGCUCACCAAGGCGACGAUCAGUAGCUGGUCUGAGAGGAGGAGCAGCCACACUGGAACUGAGACACGGCCCAGACUCCUACGGGAGGCAGCAGUGGGGAAUAUUGGACAAUGGGCGCAAGCCUGAUCCAGCCAUACCGCGUGGGGGAAGAAGGCCUUCGGGUUGUAAAGCGCUUUUGUCAGGGAAGAAAAGGUUCUGGUUAAUACCUGGCUGUCCUGACGGUACCUGAAGAAUAAGCACCGGCUAACUUCGUG